rnacentral:misc_RNA from 1 species
ACCAUCGCGAGGUGGAGUCUGAAGGAAGCCGGAGGCAAAGUCCCGGGCCGACGAACAGAAACCGCAAGAUGGCCUGUCGAUGGCCUGUACCUGUCACCGUCAGUGAAAUUGCGGAAGUUGUUAAUAAUUUUAUGUAGUGAUUGCAAGGCAUGUAGAGAAAAGUCAGAGUA